UACGUAGGGGGCAAGCGUUGUCCGGAUUUAUUGGGCGUAAAGCGCUCGCAGGUGGUUCGUCGCGUCGUGCGUGAAAGACCCCGGCUCAACUGGGGAGGGUCGUGCGAUACGGGCGGACUGGAGGCCAGUAGGGGGAUGCGGAAUUCCGGGUGUAGUGGUGGAAUGCGUAGAGAUCCGGAGGAACACCAGCGGCGAAGGCGGCAUCCUGGACUGGUCCUGACACUCAUGAGCGAAAGCGUGGGGAGCGAGCCGG
rnacentral:rRNA from 1 species